UCCCUGGUGGUGCAGAGGUUAAAGCGUCUGACUGCAAAGCAGGAGAUCCAGGUUCAAUCCCUGGGUUGGGAA
rnacentral:tRNA from 1 species